ensembl:lncRNA
CCAGACUAAUAGAAGAAAACUGAUGCAUCCGUAUUCCUAACUCUAAAAUAACACGUGGACACACUGGAGGAAGCAGAAAGCCAAAGAAAAACAGAAGAUGAAGUGUCAGAACCACAAUCUAUGGUGUUUGGUCAGCAGCUCAUGUUAACCGGUGGCCCCGCUGCCGCCGCUGCUGCCGCUGCUGCCGCUGCCGUAACUCCACCCCAGGCGUACCCGGGUUACACAUACGCGCCCCCUGCUGGUUACCCUCCUCAGCCCGGAUACGGCUUCAACAUGCAGUAGUCCCACGCCGAAACUGCUUUUAAAGAUGCAAGCACUGAACCACGCUCCUAUCGUUCAUCAUCAACCAGAACAUUUCUUAUUUUUUUUUUACCUUUUUAUGUACUUUCUGCCAUUAAACCUGCAAGAGAAAACCAUCUACAACAUGAACUUGAUUAUGGUUGCUCCGAUAUUGGACUGGUAUCUACUACUACUACUACUACGACACUGUAAAGGCCCAUUCAGACCACUCUGCUCUCACUGUCUCAUCGUGAAAACUCAGCACUGAUAAUGAAGAGAACAUUAUGACAGGUUUAGGGCACUGUGCUCUGCGUUACAGCCUUUUAACUGAGUAUAUUUGAUUAAUUUUGUGACCACCUCAUGCUUUCUAACCAUUAACGUGUGCAAUAUAUGUUUCCUUACAGGUACGUUGUAUGUUUUUGUUUUAAAUUGUUAAAUACUUACACUUGUUUUUAGGUACUGUUGUGCUUGUGAUAAAAAAAAAAAAAGUCUGUGUGCAAACCUCAGCCGUAAGCCUUUAUGGGAUGUAUAAAGAUCCCACUUCUUUACUGACAGCUCAGAGAAUAUCUUACUAUUGUUGAAAUGCAGGGUGAUAGAAGGAAUCAAGGGAAAUAAUUAAAUAUUUUUAUGCUCUAGUUUUGCAUGUGCUGUCAAUCUGAAGAAUUAUGUAACCACCAGUAGCACAAUUUUUAUUUUAUAACCAUGUUUACCAUUUUGUGCGAUGGCCCAGUGAAAAUAUAUUGAGGAACUAAUGCAUUUAAGUUCUCAUACUCGUUCCACUGGUACAAUAUUAAUCAUUAUUGUACUGAACACAAUGUAUAACUUCAUUUGACCACGCCCAACUAAUAAAUCCA